rnacentral:rRNA from 1 species
AACGAACGCUGGCGGCAGGCCUAACACAUGCAAGUCGAACGAACCCCUCGGGGUGAGUGGCGCACGGGUGCGUAACACGUGGGAAUAUACCCUUCCAGUAAGGAAUAACUCAGAGAAAUUUAGUUGCUAAUACCUUAUAAUGACUCCGGUCCAAAGAUUUAUCGCUGAAGGAUUAGCCCGCGCCUGAUUAGGUAGUUGGUGAGGUAAGAGCUCACCAAGCCGACGAUCAGUAGCUGGUUUGAGAGGAUGAUCAGCCAC